rnacentral:rRNA from 1 species
CUCCGGUUGAUCCUGCCGGACCCGACUGCUAUCAGAGUGGGACUAAGCCAUGCGAGUCAACAUAGCAAUAUGUGGCAUACGGCUCAGUAACACGUAGUCAACAUGCCCAGGGGACGUGGAUAACCUCGGGAAACUGAGGAUAAACCGCGAUAGGUCAUCACUUCUGGAAUGGGUAAUGACUUAAAUCUAUAUGGCCCCUGGAUUGGACUGCGGCCGAUCAGGCUGUUGGUGAGGUAAUGGCCCACCAAACCUGUAACCGGUACGGGCUCUGAGAGGAGGAGCCCGGAGAUGGGCACUGAGACAAGGGCCCAGGCCCUAUGGGGCGCAGCAGGCGCGAAACCUCUGCAAUAGGCGAAAGCUUGACAGGGUUACUCUGAGUGAUUUCCGUUAAGGAGAUCUUUUGGCACCUCUAAAAAUGGUGCAGAAUAAGGGGUGGGCAAGUCUGGUGUCAGCCGCCGCGGUAAUACCAGCACCCCGAGUGGUCGGGACGUUUAUUGGGCCUAAAGCAUCCGUAGCCGGUUCUACAAGUCUUCCGUUAAAUCCACCUGCUUAACAGAUGGGCUGCGGAAGAUACUAUAGAGCUAGGAGGCGGGAGAGGCAAGCGGUACUCGAUGGGUAGGGGUAAAAUCCGUUGAUCCAUUGAAGACCACCAGUGGCGAAGGCGGCUUGCCAGAACGCGCUCGACGGUGAGGGAUGAAAGCUGGGGGAGCAAACCGGAUUAGAUACCCGGGUAGUCCCAGCUGUAAACGAUGCAGACUCGGUGAUGAGUUGGCUUAUUGCUAACUCAGUGCCGCAGGGAAGCCGUUAAGUUUGCCGCCUGGGGAGUACGGUCGCAAGACUGAAACUUAAAGGAAUUGGCGGGGGGAGCA